CUGGGACUGAAAACCGCAGCGUCAUUGUCUUGUGGUGUGAGCGCACUCACAUCUUAACACUGACUGCGUGGGAACAGCAGAGCUUGACUUGGAGACGAACUUGUGAGGGAAAAAAAUUCAAGCGGAAUGAUGCUGUGACUAAUAUUCUCUGCACUGAGCCACGCGGCUAACUGGAUAGUUUCUUGCUGUGGCUCCUCAAAGAAGGACAGGACGGCAGCAGGAUGAUUAGACCAGUGUGAAGGGCAGAAAGUGUGGACAGUUUCUAGUGAUGAAACACCAUCCGGUCAGAUUCCUCCCUAAUUCCUCCCAGCAGAAUGGACAGAAG